rnacentral:misc_RNA from 1 species
CCGAGUUUACAACUCCCAAACCCCUGUGAACAUACCUAUCGUUGCUUCGGCGGAUCCGCCCCGGCGCCCUCGGGCCCGGAUCAGGCGCCCGCCGGAGACCCCAAACUCUUGUAUUUCUUAGUAUCUUCUGAGUAAACAAGCAAAUAAAUUA